ACCUGUCUAGCUCAGUCGGUAGAGCACAAGGCUCUUAAUUUCAGGGUUGUGGGUUCAAGCGCCACGUUGGGCA